rnacentral:tRNA from 1 species
ACCUAUAUAGCUUAUAAUAGAGCACUGUGUUGAAGCCGCAGGGGAAACAAUAUAUGUUUGUAGGUA